rnacentral:rRNA from 1 species
AGAGUUUGAUCCUGGCUCAGGAUGAACGCUAGCGACAGGCUUAACACAUGCAAGUCGAGGGGCAGCGGGUAGAUGAGCUUGCUCAUUAUGCCGGCGACCGGCGCACGGGUGAGUAACACGUAUGCAACCUGCCCGUCUCAGGGGGAUAAUCGUCGGAAACGGCGUCUAAUACCCCGUAUGAAGCCGGACGGCAUCGUCUGGUUUUGAAAGAAUAUCGGAGACGGAUGGGCAUGCGGCGCAUUAGCUAGUUGGCGGGGUAACGGCCCACCAAGGCGACGAUGCGUAGGGGUUCUGAGAGGAAGGUCCCCCACACUGGUACUGAGACACGGACCAGACUCCUACGGGAGGCAGCAGUGAGGAAUAUUGGUCAAUGGGCGAGAGCCUGAACCAGCCAAGUCGCGUGAGGGAGUACUGCCCUAUGGGUUGUAAACCUCUUUUGUCGGGGAGCAAAAGCCGGACGUGUCCGGCUGUGAGAGUACCCGAAGAAAAAGCAUCGGCUAACUCCGUGCCAGCAGCCGCGGUAAUACGGAGGAUGCGAGCGUUAUCCGGAUUUAUUGGGUUUAAAGGGUGCGCAGGCGGAUUUUUAAGUCAGCGGUCAAAUCGUGGGGCUCAACCCCAUCCAGCCGUUGAAACUGGGGAUCUAGAGU